CGCGAAGUGAUGCCACCAAGAAGAAAUGAGAAAUACAAACUUCCUGUUCCACUUCCAGAAGGCAAGGUUCUGGAUGAUAUGGAAGGAAAGCAAUAGAUACUGGGCAAAAUGACUGGCUCUGGAGGAUUUGGACUGAUAUAUUUAGCUUUUCCCGCAAAUAAACCAGAUAAAGAUGCAAGACAUGUAGUAAAAGUGGAAUAUCAAGAAAAUGGCCCUUUAUUUUCAGAACUUAAAUUUUAUCAAAGAGCUGCAAAAAAAGACUAUCAAAAACUGGAUAGAACUCAAACAACUUGAUUAUUUAGGAAUUCCUCUGUUUUAUGGAUCCAGUAUUACUGAAUUCAAGGGAAGAAGUUACAGAUUUAUGGUAAUGGAAAAACUAGGAAUAGACCUACAGAAGAUCUCAGACCAGAAUGGUACUUUUAAAAAGUCAACUGUCCUGCAGCUAGGUAUCCGAAUGGUCGAUGUACUGGAAUAUAUACAUGAAAAUGAAUAUGUUCAUGGUGAUAUAAAAGCAGCAAAUCUACUGUUAGGUUACAGAAAUCCUGAUCAGGUUUAUCUUGCAGAUUAUGGACUUUGCUACAGAUAUUGUCCCAAUGGGAACCACAAAGAGUAUCAGGAAAAUCCUAGAAAAGGCCAUAAUGGGACAAUAUAGUUUACCAGCAUGGAUGCCCACAAGGGAGUAGAUUUG